rnacentral:rRNA from 1 species
AAGGUUUGACAUGGAGGGCAAAGUUGAGGAAACUCAACAGAGGUUANCCCCGACACAGGUGGGUGCAUGGUCGUCGUCAGGUUCGUGCUGUGAAGCAUAUGCUUAAGUGCUAUAACGAACGCAACCCUCGUAUUUAGUUGCUAUCAUUUAGUUGAGAACUCUAAAUAGACUGCUAAGGAAACUUAGAGGAAGGAGAGGAUGACGUCUGAUCAUCAUGCCCCUUAUACCUUGGGCUACA